rnacentral:lncRNA from 1 species
CCGCUCCUGGAAGGGUUUCUUCACCAUCCAACACACAUAGCCAGGGUGUUUGAAAGUAGUACUAAAAGGCAAUGCUAUUUUUUUUGCUGUCAAGUCAGUCUCAACUGGGAGUUCUUUUAAGGACAGUUUCCAUUUGAUUUCUUGAUUUCACUAGGAUGAACUAGACUCAAUUACAUUGUUGUCGAAAUGUAUACAUUGGGAUGGACGUUCUGUUUCCCAGCAUCCACUCGUAUGAACUAGACUCAGUUAUAUUGUUGUCGAAAUGUAUACAUGUACCAGUGGGAUAGAUGUUCUGUUUCCCAGCAUCCAGAGUUGUGAGGAGGUCCUUGGAGAGGCAGGGAAGCUGCGAACAGGACAUUUUCAACACGGUCCUCUGCCUGCUCUUUCCACAGUCAAUGUCAAGAAAGGUUCAAGGUAUAUUACAAGUGCCUUUUACAUAGAAAGUAUUUGCAUUUUCCCCUUGAUGUCGGGGGUACGAAGAAGGAAAGAAGGAUGGAUAAACACAUCUUACUAGUUCCCAGAGGACAGUGUGUCUGCUGUAUUGGUUUUAAUGUGUUUAUUCAAAUAGGUUUCCUUGGCUUACCUCCCUCUCAGUCAAUCAAUUAGGGGUAAGGUGCAGAGACAUUAACAGUCUGGGGAAAAUAGAUGUACUCGGAGUAAAGGAAAAGUAAACUGAGGAUAAUAAAGCCAAGCUCGAGCUAAACGCUUGUUGUCACGGAAGCCGUAUUAUGGAAUCCCGUCCCUAAAGGCGGGAACCAGGGAUAACCCCAAAAAGCACAGAGAACUUGCACUACCUUCAAGCUGUUCUCCAUGAAGGUGAAAAACCUAUAACCCCGUUUUGGUGGCACUCAGGCCACAGAGAAGAUCAUAGCCAGGGGUAAGAAAAUAGUUGGGAGUGGUUUAUGUUAACAAUUAAAGACCCGUCUGUAUGACUCUCCUCACGUGGGCACAGAGCGUUGAGGCGGCACAUUCUUAAGAAAAUAAGAAUCUGGUUAUGCACACAUAGAAUGAUAAAUAGAUGCCUGCUGCGUCACCAGCCCAUCAGAGAACCCGCUGGAGGAUCCGCUUCAGGCGGUGUUAUACGGGAGAAAAUGUCCUUUGUAAUUGGAUGAUUCUCUAAUUUACUUCUCACUGAAAUUCACAUUAUACGUGAGCUUAAGACUUUUCCCCGGUGACCUAACCUAUACUUGGCAUUGUCUUCUUCUAUUUAAGAAUUGUUGUCCUUGGUAAGAGGAUUCUGAGAUAGCUGAACAUAAAGGCACAUUGUGUGGCUGAGCAAAGUUAGCCACCCAUCUGGGCUUGUCACCUGCCCUUGACCUUGUUGGCAGGUGUCAUAACCUGCCCUCAUGUCAUAACUGACCUAGCUAACCAGCAGCAGACACGAGGUGCAGCCUGGUACUGUUACUUGAUCUCUGUGUAUAACUUUUCUGUCAAUGCAAUUUACAUACCAGUCCGGGCUUCUCUUUCAAACAAAGCAAUGGCUUUGACAAUUUGGGUCAAAUUGUAUUUUUCCUGUUAACUUGAUAAUUACCUUCUUCUUGGUUAUAAGUAGGCUGUCCGAGAAGCUAAACUCUAGAACUAAUAGGUUACAGACAACUUGUGUGAAAUGCUCCCCUUUCUGUCCAGAGAUCAGAGAUUGAUGACGUUAGCACAGCCGAAGAGGGGCCCCUGAGGAAUUUAAGCACAAGAAUGCAUUUGCUGUUUUGUAAACACUAACGUGAUGCUGAGGCAAAGAAGUUAAAUUUACGUUGAAAGAUGACUUUUUUUUUCCCUCACAACAUUACUUCUAGCUCAUUAGUUUAAAUUAUAAAACCAUUUGAUUUAAAACUUCUAGCACACAGCCUUUCUAAACAUGUAAAUGAAAGCUAGGGUUUUCUUCCUCAGAAAGGGGGACUUUGCUUUCCAUAUAGGUAUUGGCAGAUUGGCUGGUAAAUCUAAUAAAAAGUCAUAUAUCAUUUUAGCAUUCAGGAAGGCUGCUGUAAAGGGCAUCCCAAGAUAAAACUACUGACUCAGAAGCAUGCCACAUAUUGGAGUGAUAAAAUGUCACUUCAGGCAUUGGGAAUGUGAGUUGUAAGUGAAUGUGAUUUUUUUCAAGCUAUAGUGAUAUUUUCUGAGGGACGGUGAUAUUUUAAAAUGAAAUUAUAGUUUAAUCCAGUAGCAAUUUCCUUCUUUCCACUUUGAUAGAAAUCCCUAGUUUUGAAGGCACAUUCUCCAGUUCGGGGGCUAAUUUCUUCAUCAUUGUUGAGCAGACUUCGCUGACCUUUGUCACUUGAAAAUCUAAACUAUCAUUUCAAGAAAUACAUUUUUUAGAUGCCAGGUAAAACCAGGAACUUUGUACAUAGCCAUCGUAUUUUUAAAAAAAUAAUAAAAACGUGAAUUUUCCUAACCUGUAAGGUAUGUGAGCUAAUCAUAUAUUUAAUUUACAUAUAUAAAUAACACAUUUUAUUUUGUAGAACAAGCAACUGUCAGUGUAUUUCUGGUCUGAAUACUUUUAUAAGCUCUUUGUGGCAUUUUAUCUGAGAUCUUUGGCUAUGGAUUGUGCCAUCAUCACUUUCAUCAUAUGAGCUGCAAUAAUUUCUGUUUCCAUUUUGUACCACGCCAAGAGCUGGUGUUUAUGUUUGCUUUGACAUGGAAUUGCUUCAUGGCUUUGAGCAAAUAACUUUUGGCCUUGGUUUUGUCUGGAAAAUGAGCUAAAGGAUCUCUGCAGUGCUUUGACUUUUAAAACCUCUUAAUUCUAAGCGUUGGAUGGAAAUCAAUGUUUAAAACAAUUGCUCUUAGGAUUUAAUAAGAGUCACAGUAAUUCCCCCAUUUAUGAAGGGCAGCACUGCACUCAAGCGACCCUGUCAGUGCUCCAGUGGGGCAGAGAGAACCACACAUCAGCGCCCCCUGGAGGAAGUGGAUGAUGAAAUGGGUAUCACUUACAGAGCCCCUCAGGCAGAGAUGCAGAGGCUGAAGAAAGGGAGAGAUGGAGUCACAUUACAGAGACUGAUUCUCAGUGGCUUUUUGGAAGAGGCGUCAAUGGGUUGGGGCCAUGGGGCGAGACACUUUGAAGGUCGACUUCCAGUUUCAGUCCAUCUUUGUAACUUGAUGAGAACCGUACCAUGGCUCACGGGAGGGGGUGAAGUACACAACCCUGUGCUUUAGGAAGAGGGUGUCAGUAGGAUUGUUUGGGUUGAACUGGAGCAGAGAACACAUGAGAGGUUCCAGUGGAGAGGUUGGAGGUACACAAAUAGGGUUCCAGAGGAAGGAUGUCCAGACUCCCCUUUGUUUCACUCUCCCCACUUACAAACUCUUCCUGUCGCCCCACUCGCACUUCCUGGGGUGUCCUUGCUUCCCUUCUCCCUCCUUGGCUCUUUUCAUCUCCAUUUUCUUGUGAGGAUGUGCUUACGUUUCAAAGUUCGGUAAACUGUGCUUUCACCAGCAUGGUGUUCUCAGCUAUAUUUUUACUCUUAAGACUGUGAAACAUAUCCCAGUGUUUCCCCAGUGAUGGAAACUUUCUCCCAAACUUGCAUCAUUCCUAGGAGUUCAAACACACCAGUGGCUGAUAACCCACACAUCUAUGACUCUGCCACCAAACUCUUAACUUCCUCAUUCUUAGGACCUGGAAACUGUUAGACUGGGCCUACCCAGGACCCCUGGAAUUGAAAGUCUCACAAUUCAUUUUCAGUAUUUCCCUCAUGUCUGUGCCUCCUUCCACAUUCCUCUCCUCAGUUCAAAACCCCACCAGUCCACAUAAUGGGUCAGGCCCUACAUCUUGCCUAUACCACUUAUCUGUCUACUUAUAUUGAGUAAAUUGAUGCUGACCACAUUGUAAGUCCCAAAGAUGCAACCUACCUGUUAUUUCUUUAAACCAUCGCUUCAUUCCUCCAGCUGCUGCUUUUUUAUUUUGAUCAUGGCAUCAAAAUCCAAAUCACUCCUUCCUGUAUCCUUAAACUACCUCCACAUCACACCGUACUCUAGACAGCUUUUGGGAUGAGCAGCACAAAAACCUCAGUUACAGAAAACCCCUACUUGACUUCUUUCAGUGACUCCUUA